rnacentral:tRNA from 1 species
GGGCUCAGUGGUUAAAGCACUUGGCUGCUAACCAAAAGGUUGGUGGUUUGAACCUAUCAUCAGCCA